CACGUAGGGGGCAAGCGUUGUCCGGAUUUAUUGGGCGUAAAGAGCUUGUAGGCGGCUUAGUAAGUCGGGUGUGAAACCUCCAGACUCAACCUGGAGACGCCACCCGAUACUGCUGUGGCUAGAGUCCGGUAGGGGAGACUGGAAUUCCUGGUGUAGCAGUGAAAUGCGUAGAUAUCAGGAGGAACACCGAUGGCGAAGGCAGGUCUCUGGGCUGACACUGACGCUCAUGCACGAAAGCGUGGGGAGCAAACAGG
rnacentral:rRNA from 1 species